AGCCUGGAUUUGGAGCUUUUCAUGCUGAUUUCCACAUUUUAAGGGGAAUGGUCACUCCAGGGAAGGACGAAAUAUUGCUACUUGUAACAAAUGUUGACAAUAUGGAGACAGCAUCCCGCAUCAUUGCUCCACCAGAAACAACCUUUCUUUUAAAUGGAACACGGCUGGAGGGGAAGACUAAGG